rnacentral:misc_RNA from 1 species
UCCCCGUUUAAGCGAGGCAGUCUGUCCAGAGUGCUCCCUUCUCUCGAAGGAGUGGCAACAGGACAUAGGGGUUGCGCUCGUUGCGGCACUUAAGCCAACACCUCACGGCACGAGCUGACGACAGCCAUGCAGCACCUGUGCUAGCCCCUUACGGACACGGGCUUUCACCCGCUUUAACUAGCAUGUCAAACCCAGGUAAGGUUCUUCGCGUUGCAUCGAAUUAAGCCACAUGCUCCGCCGCUUGUGCGGGUCCCCGUCAAUUCCUUUGAGUUUUAGCCUUGCGGCCGUACUCCCCAGGCGGAGUGCUUAAUGCGUUAGCGCCGGCACGGGAGGAGUCGACACCGCCCACACCUAGCGCCCAACGUUUACAGCGUGGACUAC